rnacentral:rRNA from 1 species
CAAUAGCGUAUAUUAAAGUUGUUGCGGUUAAAAAGCUCGUAGUUGGAUUUCUGCUGAGAACGACCGGUCCGCCCUCUGGGUGUGUAUCUGGCUCUUUCUUGGCAUCUUCUUGGUGAACGUUGCUGCACUUGACUGUGUGGAGCGCUACCCAGGACUUUUACUUUGAGGAAAUUAGAGUGUUUCAAGCAGGCAUACGCCUUGAAUACAUUAGCAUGGAAUAAUAAGAUAGGACCUCGGUUCUAUUUUGUUGGUUUCUAGAGCUGAGGUAAUGAUUAAUAGGGAUAGUUGGGGGCAUUCGUAUUUAACUGGCAGAGGUGAAAUUCUUGGAUUUGUUAAAGACGGACUACUGCGAAAGCAUUUGCCAAGGAUGUUUUCAUUGA